UAGCACAUGCCUCUCUAAAUCAGUCUAUCAAAUGACCUUUUAUCCUAAAAAAUGCAACAAGUAGCACAUAGGGAUACUUAGAAAUAAAUCUUUUACAAAGGACCCAACGGGUCCCGCUAGAUCUCAACAUGAUGCAAAUAAGAAUGACCUAAAGGCCAACUUAGACUAGGGUUCAACUAACAAGGCUAUUUAGGGGAGCUUAUGGUCGAUGGUGACUACGAUUUCUUUUCACCCACUCUAUACCGUCCGACGUCUCCCCCUCUUAAAAAUAAAGCUGACUUGACGAAGGUUCAUAUACACAGCGUGUACUACGAGACUUGUUUCAAAAGAAAUAACUUGAGGUAAUGAAUAUGAUGACAAAUAUAAAGCAGUAAUAAAUAAGGGAACAAUGUAAACAAAUAGAAGUAUGCAUCCAACAAUGAUAAAAUGAUAAUACAAACAAAAAAUCUAUGCACCUAUAGUAUCAAACUAAGCCGAUACAACUCAAUAAUGAAGUUGUGAAUUCUGAAAUCCCCAACAGAAUCGCUAGAGUUGUCAUUUGAUUUUGUAAGUUUGAAAGAGUUUUUAAUUAUUAAAAGUGAAAAAAGAAAAUACUCCAAAAAAGGAUUGUACAAUUAAAACUUAAAGUCGCCACUUGGCAUUAAUUUGGUAUGUCAAGUCACCAUUAAAUUAUUCCCUUUUAAAAUGGUUUGACUCUUGAAAAAUACUGAUCUAUAAAUAGAGAUUUCAGUUAAGAAAUUCUAUUGAUCGAGGGAAAGGUGAUAGGUACCCUUCGAUACCGUAGUUUGGACAUGAUCACUUCGUUAAAUUGUACCGAUUAAUUGACACUAUAAGGUGAAUAGAGAUACAAAAAGGCACACAAGGCAAAACAACAAACAAACAAGAGUACUAAACGAAAGUAGAGUCUAGUCCAAUUAUACAGUCCACAGAUGAAAAAAAUUGCAGAAAGGUAAACUUAUAUUAAUCUAUCCUAUCUUUAGGUUAUGCUUUAUCCAAUAUCCUGGAUCUUGUCCACAAACGAUCGUUAAGUACAAAAUCUCACGGGACGUUCUCCAACAAAUGGAUACAUAUCACUUUGGGGCAUUCCCCAAUAAAAUAAAUACAUUUAGAUUAAAUGUGAGAAAAGAGAAACCAUCCAAUCCAACAACUUAAACAUUCAACAAUCAUGAAAUUCUAAAGUUUGCCUACCCAAAUUGAUAUUCUCCAAAACAUUUAUUUCAAUGAAUCAAAUGAACAAUUAAGUGCGCAUCAUUUAUAAAAUUAUUUUUUAAUUAAUUCAGUUCAACCAAACCAAUCAAAUCUGGUGUCUGUUUAAGCAAUUCACUUUAAAUGAAAUAUACACCAUCAACACAUAUUAAAAGAUCAACCAUUAACAAAAUUGAUAUUCACGCAGAAACGACCCAAACAGAUUAUCAAAUUCACAUAAAAGAUUAAAUAGAGUAAAGAAAAUUGGACCUUCCGAGUCAAACUUAUUAAUUAUUUUCCACUGGAAGACUGGAGUAUCACAUCUGAUGAAAUCUCAACCAAAAAUUAAACCUCAACGUCGAAUCAGCUGCUCGACAUUGCUAGAGGGGAUGGGUUUUGGUGGGUUUUUUGUCGCUAGUAGAGGUUGGGAUUGGAGUUAGUGGGAUCUUUGGCAGGUAUCGCGAAGAUUUAGCGACUAAUCGGAUGGAAUUCGCCGAUGAUUUGAGGAGGGAUAGACUGCAAGGGUGGAGUUGACGGGUUUUAUCAAAAAUGGAGGUAGGAAGGUUAUUGGGUGGUAUUUCUGGCGGAACCUUAGACUGUUGUUGUUGCUUCGUCAGAGCUCCGGUGAGCUUGAACAGUCAUGAUGGCAUUUUUCCUUGAAAAAAUCAGAACAGAGGUCGUCCCUAGCUAUUGUUGCUUGUUGCUUUGUUAAUGGCUACUUCUCCUUUGUUAUUCUCUCUCCUUUUCUCCUACUGUGUAUGUACGUUAUUGUGUAUCUCAUAUGUGUAUAUAACUCUCUUUUUCCUAUUCCUUUAUGGUAUGUGUAUUAUGAAAAAUAUGAGUGAGAGGUGUGAGGGGGGAGGGGGCACAUGGGAUAGGUGGGUUGGGGUAGGGUGAGGUGUCAAAUUUUUAUAGGGUGAGGUGUAUGUAGG
rnacentral:lncRNA from 1 species